rnacentral:lncRNA from 1 species
AAGGGGGGGUCUUUUAUCCCGGUUGAUGUUUCAAACCGGGAUAAAAGGCCUCUCAGAGUCUUUUUUUCCCAUUAGCCUUUGCAACCGGGAUAAAAGGUUCCGGUUGGUGAGCCCCCCACCAGUGACCGAGUUUUAGUCCCGGUUGGUGAACCUUUUGUCCCGGGCCAACUUUAAACCGGGAUAAAAGGGGGCGUAUGGAAAGCCAAUUCUCUACUAGUGCACGCCCACUUCCAUUUAAUGGAACCCGUGAUCCCACCCUAGUUUUCAUGAGGCGACCAUCCCCAUGUGACAUAUACGAUUGCUAGACAAUGCCAUGCGCGGAAUAUGCACAUGCCAGUGCAUUUGAUUCGAUUCUCACGUCUAGCAUUCUUAUAAUUUCACCUACACAGCAAAUGUGAUUUUGGUAAGGCCCCGUUUGGAUCCCUUCAUUCGAAGGAAUUGGAAUCUACUUAAUGGAGUAAACUAAUUUAUCUUGGAACGUGGCAUUCCACAACCUUCCAAAGUUUAGAUAUAAGCCUAUCUUAAAUUCAUAGGGUGUGAGAUGGAAAUCGAUUCUAUAGAUUAUGAUUAUUAGAAUGGAAUUCAAUUCUUAUAGCACGCUCUUGAACUCGCUUCCCUAUAGUAGAAGUGCAGCACAUAAGUAUCUCUCCCAUAUCACCAACAAUAAUAUACUAAUAUAUUCCACAUACAAUUAUAUUAGCUUAAUUAAUUUGUGUCUAAAUUAUGAUUAUUAGAAUGGAAUUCAAUUCCAAUGAUCCAAACGGGACCUAAGGGAUAUUUUUCUUUUAAAUUCACCCGUGGAGGAUCCCUUAGUUUCAGCUCGUAACAGCAACCGGUAUUAAGUGACCCCCCGGACCGUCUAUCCACCACACAUAUACCAGCUUAAUAAGUUAGACCCAUUACUAAUACUAAUAUUAGUAUCGAGUCUUAUUUUGGCUGGUAUAUUUGUUGGAGAUUUAUAGUGGUUUCUCUGGUAUAGUAGUGAGUCCUCGCCGGUGAAUAUAUUCCCUCUCUUUCUUCCUCUCUGUUGCUUCGCUCAAGGUACAUCGUAGUAGUUCCUCUCUGUUGCCUCUAACUGGUAAAACUAAACAGAGACCCAGUGUCAACGAAUUUUGGCACCUCUUAAAAUCUGAUUAGUACACAUUUUUUUACUAUACAUACAUACAUACACACAUAUAUAUUGACCAGCUUUAACGCCUUGUGGAAUUGGAUCUAGCUAUCAGCCUCACUGUAAUCCUGCCCUUGGCUGCUAGCCUGCUACUCCUGCACCACGUGGAAAGGAAUAUAUGCGUAGAAAACAUAAUCCUGUUCAUAGCUGCUAGCCUGCUACGCGUGCACCACGCGCAAAGGAAUAGACGUAAAACAAAGUGAAGGAUGCCCAGAGAGGGUGCUUUGUCAUCGUCCAAUGAAUCUGAACGGGAUGCAUUGCUCAGUUGUUCAGCUACUAGUGCAUAAAAUAUGAUAGUGGCAUUGCAUGAGCAUCAAGCUAGUAGGGUGACUGAGCUGAGUGAGCACAGGUAACUUGGUGCCAACGGUGAACAGUAAUGCCAAGGCCACGCACACUUCAGGUCUCGCGGUCAUAAACAACAACUAUUUGAUAGAAAAGAAACCAAUCGGGAAUCUUGGAGAUUUUGUAGUAGUGUUCAAUGUCUUAUAGCGGCUUAUCUCCUAAGCUGAACAUUCCAUCAUCUAAGCAAGUAGAAGCUGAGAGGGAUUUACACCUACCGCUACACACAGUAUCUUCCAGGAUUCUCGAGUAUUUUUUUAUUGCCAAUGACCAUAUAGCUUCCCUCCUCUAGAAAUUUCUUCAAUAGGCAAGGGGUUUUACCUCUAUGAAAUGUCCCUAUCUGAGUACAAAAACGUCGACCACUUCGAAAAUGAUGAACAAAGACAGCAGUCGUUGGUGUCCGAAGAAAAAAAAUUAAAGAUGCAUUUUUAUAAAUUUUAAACUUCUUGUGCCUCUGGACUGGCUCGAUGGUCAUAUUUUCUAAGUACAAGUUUAUAUGACGACUUAUGAAUUUGUUCAAAACUACAUGUUCGAAUUUGUCCACCAUAGCACCCGCUGAUUGCUUGAUGAGAACCGGUUAUGAUCUUCAGAUAACUUGCUGCAGAUAGCAAUAAUUACUGCAACCUGGCAAAUAAAACUUAAAGCCAACCACCAUCUUUAAUCCACAACUUGAGAAUCGAGGGUUCAUCUAAUCACACUCCCUCAUAACCAACCAACACAACCUUAUCCUGAAGUUAAGGAUAAAACUUUAGCAUGUCAAAAGCCUUAUCCUGAAAGUUAUGAUGCUAUUCCAUAUGCUCAAGGUUUUAAAGUUCCAGAGUUCACCAAAUUUACUGGGGAGGAUAGCAGAACUACAUGGGAAACGUUAGCCAAUUUAAUGCAAAAUUGGGCAUUUUUGGUAGCCUUGAUCAUUUAAAAAUCAGAAUGUUCCCUUUGUCAUUAUAUGGUACGGCUUUGUCAUGGUUUUCAGCAUUACCUUCAAAUUCUAUUCAUAUGUAGUCUCAAUUAGAGCAUAAGUAUCAUGAACACUUUUACAGUGGUGAUAAUGAAUUGAGGCUAUCUCAGUUAACAUCGGUUUGGCAAAAGCCUGAUGAGCCUGUUGCUAAAUAUAUCAGAAGGUUUAGAGAUGUAAAAACCAGUGUUAUAAUUUCAUUAUUUCAGAAAAAGAUCUUGCUGAAUUGGCACUUAAUGGUUUGAGAUCUCAUAUUAAGGAAAAAUUAGAUGGAUAUGAAUUUCUUACCAUUAGUCAAGUUCUACAAAGAGCUUUGGCUUAGGAAAACUGAACUAAAGAUAGUCGGCUCAAAUCUGAUUGUCCUAACAUGCAUAUGUUGAAUUAUGACUCCUCGGACCAUGAGAGUAAAGAAAUUUAUGCCGCUGAAUUUGCGUGGUCAUCUAAUGACAAAGCAAACACAUGUGCUUCUCUCAAGCCGAGUCAUAAAAAUCGGCAAGAGGAAGUUAAAUUCAUUUUUGAUGUAUCCAAGUGUGAUAGAAUCUUUGAUGAGCUGAUGAAGCUUGGAAAGAUUAAGUGUCCUCAUACUAUACCUCUAGCUGAUGAGUUGAAGCGGCAUGCUUAUUGUAAAUGGCAUCAUUCUUUCUCUCAUGCUACCGAUGAUUGCAAUGUGUUUCGCCGUCAAAUACAAUCGGCCCUUAACAAAGGUCGUUUGUCUUUUCAUGAUAUGCAAGUUGAUCAUAAUCCUUUUCCAAUAAAUGCUCUUGAAUUGCCAAAUUCCAAGGUGCUUAUUUGGCCGGAUCAAGCCGAAAAGGCUAAAGGGAAGAACAUGAUCAUUGGUGAGGAAAGACUUGAGAAGAAGGUGCAGAAGAAGACCCCUCAAGUUACAACAAAGACUUCAAUGCCCGGGGGCAAGAUAGAAGCAAGAGGGCUGGUUGUGCACCGACUGGUCUGACCGGUGUAUCCAGCAAGCUUGGAAAUUCUUCCAAGGCUAAGAGAAGAUGAGGCUGAGCUUCGAGGAACUUUUGGCUAAAUAUAAGAAGAAAGGAGUGGCUUAGAAGCAAAAUAAUCGGUCAUGUAACACUAGGGAUGCAAAAUCACCACCAAGUCAUCAAGGGUGACAAGGACCUCGCCAACAACAGGGUAAUUGUGUUGUUGAGCCAUAUUCUUUUGUUGGGCCAUAUAUGCCAUUUUCUUGGUCAUAUUCUUACUACUAUGCACCUAGUGAUUAUAGUAGUAUGUACAUGCAACCAUAUAUUAUUUCAUACCCAAACUAUGAUACAUUACCAUGACCGGUUGCUUGCAAUAGUGAUCUGGUUAAAGGUAGUGCAUGUGCUGGUGAUAAACAGUGUGAGGGUAACAACAAACAAGGUUCUAAAUAUACACAGCCGAGGUGGUGUCCCUCAAGCUUAUCUCACACUCAAAAGACAAGACUAUAGAGAAUGCGCAAGAAAGAGGUAACGGAGCAAUUAACUAAAGAGAAACCGGCAAGGUCGACACGAAUCAGAAAAGAGUGGAGGCCAAAGCGGGUAAAUUUAGUUUCAACUUGAGUAAAUCAAGUAUUAUGACCGAUAAAGCGUUAUCUCCCUUAGAAAAAUAUAUAUGGCCGAUGCUUUGUUCAUCAUCGUCCUUAGGCAAUUUUGGACUAGGAGAGUAUUUUUUGGCAUGUAUCCUUUGCCAAAAAAUAGGGGGCAUGUGUUGGAGCCCAAAAGUGGCAGGUCUAGGAAAACCGGUCAGACCGGUUUGGUCAAAAUGCUCAAAAGGCAAAUUGGACUUCACCAUUGCGUAGCUCUUGUCAAGAUGAUCAAAAUGCAUAUGUAGAACGUUUGAUUUGGAGUUCGGAUGAGAGAGUUAUGACCGGUUUCGGGUUGUGUAAACUGAGUUGGAGUUGUGUUUUAGCAUGAGAUUUGUUAGUGUUUCAACUCCGUGAAGAGCAAGACCUCCCCUCCCUAUAAAUAUGAAGGGCCACGACCAAUUGAGUUAGAUCCAAUCGAUCAAAAACCAAUCUAUCUUUUAUGGUUUUUACCUUUCUUCCUCGUUACCCCACUUUUCCAACCCCAUGUGCUGUUCUUCUUCUGUCUCCAUUGCAUAAGGAGGCGCCCUAGAUGGCCUGCCGAGCCUAGGGCAACCCAAGGUGAACCUGCCCUAAUGGGGUCCCUCCUGGGUGGGCGUUCGUUGGAUCCUCGCCGGGCUCUCCGGUGAGACCAGUCUGAUCGGCCUGCCAUACCUGUCUGACUGGCCUCCGCAUCGACGUAGCAAGGAGCGUCUUUGCGGGGCGCACGUUUGAGUGCUUUGAUCUAUUCCAGGAGUGAGGAAGAGCACGAGGAACACUUGAGGCUAGUACUCCAGAAGUUGAGGGAGCACCAGCUGUAUGCUAGGUUUAGUAAGUGUGAGUUCUGGCUAAAGGAGGUUUCCUUCCUUGGACAUGUUAUCACCAACGGUGGAAUUGCAGUGGACCCAAGUAAGGUUGAGGAUGUGUUGAAGUGGAGUUCACCCCAAACAGUCACUGAGAUCAGGAGUUUCCUUGGACUUGCAGGAUAUUACCGCAGGGUCAUCGAAGGGUUCUCUAAGAUAGUAAAGUCACUCAUGACUUUGCUCGAGAAAGGCAGAGAGUUCAUGUGGACCGAAGCUUGUCAAGCUAGUUUCAAAGAGUUGAAGAAGAGGUUGAAGACAACCCCAGUGCUAGUGAUGCCAGAUCUGCUGAAAAGUUUUGACAUCUACUGUGAUGCAUCUCGGCAAGGCUUAGGCUGUGUCCUCAUACAGGAAGGUCAUGUUAUAGCCUAUGCAUCUAGGCAGUUGAGGAAGCAUGAGCAGAACUACCCGACCCACGAUCUGGAAUUAGCUGCAGUGGUACAUGCUUUUAAGAUAUGGAGGUAUUACAUACUUGGAACUAAGUGUUGGAUUUACACCAAUCACAAGAGUCUCAAGUAUAUCUUCACACAAAAGGAUCUCAACUGGAGGCAAAGAAGGUGGUUAGAGCUUAUCAAUGAUUGUGACCUAGAGAUUUACUAUCACCCGGGAAAAGCUAAUCUAGUGGCAGAUGCCCUGAGUCGGAAGGGUCAUGUCAAUUUGGCUUUAGCAUUUCAGUUGCCUGACGAGUUGAUGAAGGAAUUCGAGAGGCUUAACCUAAGCAUUGUUGCUCGCACUGAAGGAACAACGAUGGAGGUAGAGUCAACCCUCGAACAGGAGAUAAGAUUAGGUCAGCUUGAGGAUGCCAAAGUCAAGGAGAUCAAGGAGAUGAUAAAGGAGGGAAGAGCCUCCGAUUACACGGAGGAUUCCCAGGGAACACUAUGGAUUAAAGGGAGAAUUUGGGUUCCCGACGUGGGAAAGCUCCAUGAGAUGAUCUUGAGAGAAGCUCACGACUCAGAUUAUUCCAUACACCUUGGUAGCACCAGAUGUACCAAGAUCUUAAGCAGAGGUAUUGGUGGCUCAGAAUGAAGAGAGAUGCAGCGGCACAUGUAGCGAUAUGUGAUGUGUGCCAAAGGGUUAAGGCUGAACAUCAGAGACCAGCCGGAUUACUUCAACCGUUGAAAGUGCCCAAAUGGAAAUGGGAAGAGAUAGGAAUGUAUUUCAUCAUUGAAUUGCCUCACACCCGAGAUGGGUAUGGCUCUAUAUGGGUCAUAGUGGACCGGUUAACUAAAGUUGCUCACUUUAUACUGGUGAGGACAACCUAUACAGGAGCCAAGUUGGCAGAAUUAUACAUGGCCAGAAUUGUGUGCUUGCAUGGUGUGCCUAAGAAGAUAGUGUCAAACAGGGGUACCCAGUUCACAUCUCGCUUCUGGCAAAAGUUACACGAGUCUUUAGGGACAAAGCUAAACUUUAGUUCGACCUAUCAUCCUCAGAAAAACGGACAGACUGAAAGGACUAAUUAGAUAUUGGAAGAUAUGCUGAGGGCAUGUGCACUAAAGCAUGGAAACAAUUGGGAUAAAAGUUUGUCCUAUGUGGAGUUCUCCUACAACAAUAGUUAUCAAGCUAGUCUCAAGAUGUCGCCAUUUGAAGCGUUGUAUGGAAGGAAGUGUAGAACACCUCUGUACUGGAGUGAGAUCGGAGAAAGUCAACUGUUUGGGCAAGAGAUUAUCCAAGAAGCUAAAAGGCAGGUCCAGAUUAUUCGGGAGAAUUUGAGAACAGCCCAAUCAUGACAGAAAAGUUAUGCCGAUACUAGGAGAAGAGAGUUGACCUUCGAGGCAGGUGAUCAUGUGUAUCUCAAAGUGUCACCUAUCAGAGGCAUGCGCAUAUUUAAGGUCAAAGGGAAGCUAUCACCCCGGUUUAUAGGACCAUUCAAGAUCAUUGAGAGGGUAGGAUAGGUAGCCUAUCGCUUGGAGUUACCUAGUCAGUUGGCAGAUGUGCACAACGUAUUCCAUAUCUCGCAACUCAAAAAGUGUCCUAGAGUGCCGGAAGAGCAGUUGCCCAUGGAGGAAUUGAAUGUGCAAGAAGAUCUCACCUAUACGGAGUAUCCUAUCAAGAUCUUGGACACCUUAGAAAAGGUCACUAGGAACCGAGUAAUCAAAAUGUGCAAAGUCCAGUGGAGUUACCAUGCAGAGGACGAGGCUACAUGGGAAAGAGAGGACGAGCUGCAGAAAGAAUUUCCCAAUCUCUUCGCUGGGCCAUCCAAAUCUCGAGGAUGAGAUUCUUCCUAAGGAGGGUAAGAUUUGUAACACCCUAAUUUGAGCUAAUUCAAAUUUCAAGAAAAUUCAAAUAAAUUAAAUUGCCUAGAUUGUUUUGUUGCAUUUUGUGUGUUGUUCGCUUGAGUGGUGGUUUUGAAUUUGGAUUCAAAUUCAAAUUCAAUUUCAAAUUCAAAAAUCUGAGCAAAACUUCCAUCUCUGUUUGGGCCGCACCUUUCCCUCUCCUCUCUCCCUCAUUUUUGGCCCGACACCUCCCCUCUGUCUCUCACCCAGCCCGACCUCCCGCUCCAGCCCAGCUCGGCCCACCCGGCAACCCUCCCUCCCCAGAGACUGACGUGCAGGGCCCGCAUGUCAGCUCCAUCUAAUCCCUCGCACCGGCUGCAAACGGCCCCCGCUUCCCUCGGCGCACGCUCGCACGUUGCAUGCGCCGCACGCGCCCGCACUAUUCCGGAACCGCCGCCCUCGUUCCCCCUUCACGCACACGCUCCACUCCUCCACUCUCCGCUACCCCGCGCUUGAGCCGUUGCUCCCCCUCACCUAUAAAUACCCGAUCGGCAUUGCUUUCGCCAUCGAGCCCCAGUUCGACGCCACCCCUCAUUCCACGCGCACGCACCACAAAUCCUCCACGCCACCUGCAUCACCAUCGCCCACACCGUCGCCCGUGCCGUCGCCGCACUCGUCGUCGCCGCCGCCCAAGUCCGCCCGAAGGUGAGGCCCCGCACCCGUGCUCUCUUUUUGCCGCGAGAUCGCUGCUGCCACCGCCCGUGUCCCGCCAGCUCUGCUGCCUCCCACCAUGCGCAAACCGCACAAAUGGGUCGCCCGCGCCCCCAGCUACCUCCCCAUGCCACCCGUGCACCAAACCGUGGCCGGAGUCACCAUUCCGGCCAACUCCGGCGAGCCCCACCGCCGUUCACCGUCGCACCCAGUGCGACACCCCGUCGCAACGCCCCGCCACCGUCCAUUCUCCGUUCAACAGCCUAGAUCUGCGAGCUAUCGACUUCGAGCCGCCCACGCCGCAAGCCGCCGAGCCGAGCCACCGUGAGCCGCCGCUGUGCUUGCGAACCGCCGGCUCUGAGCCGUCCGCACCCUCGCCGCCGAGCCGAGCUGACCCGCGCGCGCAUCCGCCGUCCAUUGAAGAUCCUACGGCCCGGACUUAAUCUGGCCGAACCGUGUUGGUUCGCCCGAGCUGCUUAACGGCACUUUUGCUAAAGAUCCCCCCGAUUUUCCUGAAAUUAACCCGCCGUCCUUCUGUAUAGAAAAAAUAAUUACGAUUCAGUCCUGUUUUCUUUCGCCUAGACCCCUGUAGUUCCUGUUAUUUUAACCUGCAGUCCAGCUUGGUAGUUUUUGCGUGUUAGCCCUCUGAGUUAAUGUUUAAUUAUGUUUAGGGCCUCGGUUUUUGCAGUCUAACCCCUGGAAAGCUUUGUUUUAGUGCAGUUAGGCCCCUGCAGAUUGUUUUUAGCGUAGAUUUCGCAUCCUAACUCCGUUUUGAGCAAAUUUUAUACCCACGCGCUCAUCUUGACGCGUAGAUUAGAUUAAUGAAUCUGUUUCUCUCUGUUUUUAUGAAAUGAUGUACUGUUUUCUUACUUUAUGCUCUUGUAUGCUUGUAUGUGUGUGCCGAUGUGAACGAGUAGACGGUUUGUUGAUCGAGGAGUUCGAGGAACCGGUGUUUGAGGACUUCACGCAGCAAGAGCAGGAGCUGGAAGGCAAGUCGUGCCCUUGGUUCACAUUUUAAUGUCCUAUUCCUUUACCUUCUAUUCAUACUUUGCAAUGCAAUGCACAUGCUAGAAUAACUUGAUGGGUCCUAUCUAAGGAUGACUAGUCUGUAUUGUCCUAUGCCUUGAUCAACUGGAUAGAUUGUUGGAUAGAUAUACUUAGUGCUCAAAAAUAGUCAUGGUCAGAUAUGAUAUACAUUAAAUGGCUUUAUUUAUGUUAUAUCGUUGUUAAGACAAGAUCACCCUUGCUAAGUGGAACAUGGAGAACCACUCAGGAAAACAGUACUACCACAAGACUAAAUGGCUCUUGUCUUGGCUGAUUAAUUAGAAACGUUGGUCUGGGGUAAUCUUCUUGUAUGGCGGGGCUGAGUCGUUGCAUUAGCGGCCUGCGAUGGGUUGCGCACGCCAGCACCCAAACCUCGUGGGUUACCACUGACUAAUGAAUCUUUGUAAAAGCCUCGUAGCGUCCCUAUGCAGACACACCUCGGAAGUGUGAUAUGGUGCCUAGCUAGCACUGCGUGGUUGGGUUUACGCGACUUGUGGGUAAAGAUGUACAACCUCUGCAGAGUGUCUAAAAAACUGAUCGAUCAGCCAUGCUCACGGUUAAGAGUGGCCUGGACCCUCACAUGGUUAACUUAUCGAAAUAUGCCUUUAAAUCAUUGUUACUUUAUUCAUUUAUUCAUGCUUUACUUUAUAUAUGUUCUUGCUUAAUUUUUGGGAGGUAUAAACUUACACCUAGGUUAUGGAUAAUAAAAUUUGACCAACUAAAAUCAAUGCUUGCUGCUUAGCCUUAGCCCACUUUAAUGGCCUUACACUACACAUGAUUCCCCAUGGCUUGCUGAGUACGACAUGUACUCACCCUUGCAUUCAACCAUACAGACCAAGUGUACCCGGAGGAGUACGUGCGGGACUUUGAAGACUUCUAGGCUUAGCGUUCACCGGUCAGCUACCUGUGGAGUUGUCGUUAUCGUUUCCCGUGUGUUUAGUUCAUUUAUUUGUGUUACGAAGACUUUGGUCAUGUAACUGGAUAAUUCUCUCUAUUUUCUAUGGCAUUGACUUUGAUGUAUCACUAUUUGUUGUACAUGUGUGAAAUUUGAUCCUGGCACACAUGUUUGUAAUGCACCCAGGUUUGUCCUUAGACCUGGGUGUGACAAUGCCGCAUACAGGAUAACUAAACGGGCGCGCGCCUGAAAAUUCAAGUAGGACUUUAAUCCCGGUUGGAAAAACCAACCGGGACUAAAGGGGCACCCUCUAAUACCGGUUGGUAAACAAAACCGGGACUAAAGGGGCCUGUCCCGCACCUGUCGUAGCAUCCCCUUUAGUCCCGGUUGAGGGACUCGGGACUAAAGACCCCCCUUUUGUCUUGAUUGAUUAAUCUCGGAUGGUUUUUCGGGAGACCCUACCAACCUGGACUAAUACUGUGUUUUCUACUAGUGACUGUUGUGUCAGUUGUCCUCCUCCCCUCGUGUUAUUGAUCCCAUUUGUAUGUGUUGCGUUCUCUAUGUCUCUCCACAUCUUUUCAGUUGAUGUCUCUUUUACAAUUGUGUUGAUUCUUUUUCCUUUCUACUAAUAUAACACGACAAUCCUCUUGCCAUCUUUUUGAAAAAACAAAUCGUGGGGAUGCUGCUUGAUGAAGCUAGCAACAUGGAUCUCAUGGUUCUUCUUGAUUGUUGGGAUGGGUGGGAUGGGCAAAACCACCUUUAAUUUGUGCAACUCAUUUAUAAUGACCCUGCAAUCCUGAAACAUUUUGAGCUUAAGAGGUGGUGCGGUGUGUCAGAUUAGAAAAAAAAAUUGCAACGGUGCAGAUUAGUGAUGGAAACGUAUCGAAUGCUUAUCAUUCAACUAACUCAGAUUUUUUGUUGGGUCUGUCUAUGGGUCACCUGAGUGAAACAGGAGCCUUCCUCACUCGAUUUUUUCGGGUGUGAGAUGCACAUCCGACGCCUUUCCUUCAUCUUCUAGAGCAAGUAUAUAUCUAGGCACAUAGCAAAAAUCAUGUAUGUAGAAAAAAUAACCUACAAUUUGAUACGGAGAGAUUACAUUGGAACAUCAACCAAACAAAUGGACGAACCCGUUUACUUAUUUGGCCUCCAAGAAUGCCAUACGACCUGAAUGAAUAACUGUUAAAUGCGAUACAAUAAUUCAGAAAACCUAGACGUCCUGACCCACGCGUGGGAUAAGAAGAAGCUUCUCCUUACGGUGCACAUCAACCCCAUAUGACUCUGUCAUAUCGAUGCCUGCCGUCCCCGGAGGAAGCUCCCAGUUGAAGUGGUAGAUAAGGUUGGCCAGAAUGAUUUCGAAAUUGGCCUUGGUGAAGUUUAUAGCUGGGCACAUCCUACGCCCUGAUCCAAAUGGCAAGAAACGGAAGUCGUUUCCCUGGAAGUCGGAGGCAGCAUCCAUGGCUUCUUCUAGGAACCGAUCGGGCACGAACUCCUCGGGACUCUUCCAGUAGGUGGGGUCCCUUCCUAGAGCCCACACGUUGAGAAUUACACGUGUCCCAGAUGGUAUGGUAUAGCCCUCUACCACACAUUCGGCCAUGGAGAAGUGGGGUAACAUAAGAGGCCCCGGUGCGUGUAGCCGCAUCGACUCUUUCAUCACCGCCUUUAGGAAGCUCAUGCCGCUCAGGUCUUCUUCAGUGACCAUAUCCUUACCCUUGGCUGUGCACCUCCUCACCUCGGCUUGCAGCUUGGUCAUUGAUUGGGGAUUCCGCAUCAGCUCGGCCAUGGCGUAGUCGAGCGCUAUGUACGUUGUGUCUGUCCCGGCUUCGAACAUGUCCUACACGCAUGUAUAUAUCGAUAAAAUUUCAAUCAAACUUAAGCAAACAUGUCCAUCAAACAUCUCCUAUAUAUGUAAGGAUUAUCAGCUUUCAAUCAAUUAGUAAACGUAAGAUUUUAAUAAAAAAAUUUGAAGUUUAGAAAUGGAACUCUGCAUAAACAUACCACCAGCAAUGCCUUGACGUUGUCUCUGGUCAGGCCGUACUCUUGUUGAACGGAGAGGAGCACGUCGAUGAAGUCCUCCUGCUCGUCCUCACCAUCGACGACCGUCUUGCUCCUAAUGUGCUUGUCGAUGAGGCUGUCCAAAAGAUCAUCCCAUCUCUUAAUCUGCUUCACGGCCUUGGCUGACAUCAAGUCGAACCUCCCCAAGCUCGGGAAGUAGUCGUCCAGGUUGAAUCCCCCCAGGAGCUUGGCGUUCGUCUCUAGCAGCUCCCGGAACAGCUGGUUCUGGCCUUGUUCCCUGGGGAGCCUGCCCGCCACGGCCUGGUACACGAUGUCGUUGGCGAAGAAGCUGAAGAUCUCGGUGACGUCGAUCGCCGUGCCCGCGGCGGCGGCGGCCCUCACCCUGGCUAAGACCAGCCGGACCUCCUGCUCGCGGGCGGCGCGGUUGGACUUGGACCGGACCUUCGCUGCGGUGAGGAGGUGGGUGGUGAUUACCUUCCUGGCCCGGCGCCAAUACUCGCCGUAAGGCGUGAAGCUAGCGUCAGUGGAGCCGUAGAAGAGGAUGUCGGCGACCGCGGAGUGCGGCCGGGAGGCGAAGACGUGGUCGUGCGUGCGCAGGACGGCCUUGGCGGCGCGGGGGGAGGAGACGACAAGCGUUGGCACUGCGCCGAGGCGGAGGAGCAUCACGUCGGGCCCGUGCCUCUUGGCGAGGUCGCGGAGGGAGUGGUGGGGAAGGGAUCCGAUGAGGUGGAGGUGGCCGAUGAUCGGGAGCUUGAACGGAGGCGACGGUAGCUUCCGGAGCAGCUUCUCUGUUCUGGACCUUGGUGUUGCCAAGUGCACGGCGACGACGAAGAGGAAGAAGAGGAGGGCUAGGGACUCUGGAGAUGCGUGUUCGUAGAGGCGCGCUAGCACUGGAGCCAUGGCGGCUGCUGUGCUCAACAGCUUGUGGUACCUUCAAGAGUGCAUACAUUGUGCUUCCGUUCCAUCCAUCAGCUGCACACAUCGAAAAGUGCAACGUUCACAAAGCACAUUUCUCAAAAACCCACAAGUUCUUGAUUUGCAACUGCAUUUAAGAUCCCAUGUGCUAACUGCAAUGCGACUAUUUACUUUUUUUAAUUUCCGGACCAGCUUGUUGAACGUUUGACAAAACAAAGGCAGGAUAAUAGAAUUUUCGCAUGUGAUGGAUCGGAGGCCACUGGACACGACCGACAGGGGAGGUGAUCACCAGCACCAAGGAAGUGAUGAGUGCUGAACAGAAUUCUGAUGCUUUCGGAAUACGAUAUCCUUUUCAUCAGUGUCUGAGGAUCACAAUAAUUCAUUCGACUGACUGCCUUGAAAGAUUGAUAGCUCCUCCACCCGUGGUUUCUUCUUCUCCCCUCUCCAACUUUUGGUUUUAAUAUUAGAAUUGAACUCUUCAAAAGAUGGAGGGAGUCCUUACUAGAAAGAUGACCUUUUGUCUAACCUGUUAGUACCAGUGGAGGGAGGGGGUCUGGCGGGAGCUCAAUAGAAUGGUGCUGUCACCACCAGCUGCACAUCGACAAGUGCAACGUUGACAAGCACAUCUCUCGAAAACCCACAAGUUCCUAAUCUGCAACUGCAUUUAGGUCCCAUGUGCUAACUGGAAUGCGACUAAACAAAACAUUGGAUCCUAUCUUUAUCCCCUCCUUUAAUGGUUGCUCAAACUGAAGGUAGUUGGAACAUCCUAAUGACCAAGAUAGUUCAAGGCUUUCCUCAAAAUAUAAAUUACUCUUUAUUCACCUUGGAGCAAUAAUCCUGAUUCUAGACAAUAUGCAAUCCAACGCUGCAGCAUGACCGAAAAUGGAUUGGACAACCUUCCCUGCAUCUCGAUGUGGCCAUGCAUGCAUUCUGCAUCAAGACAUUUUUGCAAUGAUGUAUCUUGAUUGGUAGUAGCGCCAUGCCGCGAUGAGCUAGAGAUAAUGUUGAAAUUCCAUGUUCAGUAAUCAUCUUGACCUCAAUGCUGAGCAACGUAACUGCUCAAACUAAUGUUGCAUCGGUGUAGUGUUUGUCCCAGUUGCUAGACACUAUCUCAAAGGAUUUCCCCUAACGCCGCGCAUUCCUACAGCUAUGUUUCUUGCCAGAGUGUACCACUAGCAGCAGUCUCUUUGGAGUUUGGAGGAACAAUUCCGGAGGGAGAUUCAGAACAGAACAAACCUCAUGGUUUUCCAUGCAAACAGAGUAUAUUCUUGCUAGGUAGCUGAGUCUUGAAAUGUGACAUUCGACGAACUGAUCAAUUUACACAAAUCCAAUCAUGAUUUUGUAACCCAGCCAAUCAACGACUUCUCAUCACGAUAGCCUCGUUCUCUUGCAGCUGUAGGUAUCGGAACCUCAUGCGCUUCACUUCCAUAUUACUUCCAUGUUCAUCCUAGCCAAUUCUCAUGGCACAUUUUGACAGGAUGUUAGAUUGAAUAAUUUGAAAAAUCAGAUACCGUCAAGUUACAUCAAAGUUUUGACCGGAUGCAUGCUACAUUGAAAAUCUAGCUUAUCACCUCUAGCAAAUACGAACUAAACAGUAAAUCACAAUAAUAAGUUGUCAAGGGUGAUAUCAAAGUAACGGUGUAGAGGAGUCCAGUGUCUCUGAAUGUUUCAGAACAUGCUACUAUGCCUGUAAUGGAAGUGCAGGCCGCUGCAAACCACCGUUGCAGUUGCGAAAGGCUUAGCUGCGUAGACCAUGAAGCGGUGGUCUAGGAGAAGCAUUAAGUGUGCUUAAACGGUUGUGCCACCAAAGAGGCAGAGGAAGCAUUUGAUGAUCACCAGCAGCUUAUCUGUGGAACCCCAAUCAAGCAUUUUCAUUUGUUUCGAACGAGGUUUUCCCGAUGCCUCUCAAUCUCACUCAUCUACGCUCAUCACUGCUUGCUUACCCAUGCUAGCAAGGGUAUGGGGACUUGGCUCUCGAUAUAUAAUGUAGCCUAUUGUUACCAUGUCUUCAUGUAAUUUUUAGCAAUGCAUUGAUAGUCAUAAGUUGUAUGAACUGAAAAUCUGAAUAAAUAGUGCCAACUGAUUUAUGUACUAGCUAGGGACGAGCAAUUGUAUAGUGAUAGACGUGUCAGACGAGCAGUGGUCUUUAAUUUUUAACUCACUGUUAGUUGCGGUCAAUUUGAGGAUAUUUGUAUUAAGGUAGCAAGUUUAUUAGCCUAUUGUUCUCUAUCUCUGCCAGUCAGUGCAUAACUGCAUAUGAAUGGAUCAACUGUGACUUUUAGGAGUUGAGUCACAUGCUUCACUGUUUCCAUGCUCAUGGGCGCUUUUUAUGCUCUCGAACUUCAGACUAGCAUUUGGUAGUUUUCUUGCGUUAAAAUGAAUGUAAUGGCAUCAUAGCUCCCAGAAAGAUACAUUAUUACGUCUAGAGAAGAUCGGAAUAUAUGAUGUGUUCUUAUGGUAGGAAGGUGCGGUAGUAAAGCAGACCUAAAUGCAGAGUAAAACAAGUGUAACUGCAAAGUACCAGAACUGUCAUAGAUAAAAAAAAAGGCAUAUAUGGUCAUUGUUUAUGCCAUAUGUACUGUGCAGCCGAAUGGUAUUGACAAAAAUUAACUUCCAGGGAUUGGAACAUCUAAUGAUAAAUUGACUUGCAGCAUUGGUAGACCAAUUAAUAGGUUAUUUACCCGGUCCAUUAGUGUGACCCAUGUGUUGUGUUAUGGUGGAAUUAGUUCCACCUUAGUAGUCUAAGUAGGUCCCUUUUAACACACCGUCCAGAAUCCUAUCGUCUUGUCGUUCUCCCAGCAGUGUCCCGCUGGCCACACUUACGGAACGUGCGGCUCGCUUUACAUUUCUAACACACACACACACAUAGAUGUCAACAAGAAGGUAGGUAGAGACGUAGCCCUUGGAAAAAUAGGCAACAACAGAGGUUAAACACUAUCCUAACAGAAGAUGUUUUGUGGCCGUAUCGUGAAGAUCCAGCUCCCUAUGGAGCCGACGCAGACAGGAUGGACAGGCCGCAUGCACCUGUAUAUUUCCGGCCUCUAACAAGAUUUCCGGUGAUGCCUCCUGCUCCCACAGCUCUAUACUACUACUUCUGUUUUAAACUCAAUAGUCUUUGCAAUGUAUUUAGACAUAAUGUAAAUCUAGAUACAUAGCAAAAGCUACGUAUACGUAGAAAAAGUUAAAAUGACCUACAAUUUAGGAUGGAGGAGUUAGUUCUCACGGUAUACAAUUUGGGUUUGGAGAAACAAAGCUCGAGUAACAUAAAGAACAAGUGAAUAGACCCUGAAGAGCAAGUAACAGUAGCCCCUGCCACAUUAUAAGGUGGCCCGGCAGCAUUGGGGUGCAGAUAAGGCAGUAUAUAUGAACAUGUCUACAUAUGUUGUGAUUUGCGAAACAGAGGCCAUGAUCAUCUGCCUCCAGUGAAUUUGAAUAUAUAGAGCCUGGAUCCAUUCAGCAUUGCCGUCAAGCAGGAUAGAUGCUCCUUCACUUCAGACUGAUCGCUGAUAAAAACUUGCUACAUAUGUAUUUUUUUAGGAGGGAGACAUUUGGAACAAGGUUAUAUGAACAACAGAGUACUUCCUUUCUCAAAAGAAAAGGGAAUCAGUUCAUCCCAAACGUAGCACUCUUUAUCCAAGAUAAAACAGAGCACUAGUACACUCCUUUACCCCUCUGCGUUUUUGUUUGUGCUUUGUCUGGAAUAGUCCAAACUAGGCCUCACGUCUCUCCCUUCCAAAAAUCCUAAAUACAUGCCAACUAGAACUCGACAAUGUUGCUGAUUCUUGAGAUGUUACAAUUGACAAACUGAUGAAUGAUGACAAUCCAAUCUUUAAAUUUACAAUCUAGUUCAUAAAAAAAAACUUUUACUUGCUUUGGAUUGUUUCGAUGAGUGUUUUAUGCAUAUGUUCAAUUGUAAAGUCCAAAUGUACUUUAUACGUCGGAACCAAAUCCCUAACUUGGAUCAUGUCCUUUGUCGUUGGAAGUUGUCAAAUUUAUGUUGAUGAGUUGGUCCAUACUGAUCUUCUAUGUAGUGGAAGUAGACAAGGAUCAGCACACACUGCAGGCAGCUGAAUGUGAGUAGCACCUCAUUCUCAUAGCCACGCUGAUUAGCAUCAGUUUGGCUAAUUUUUUCAAUUGAAUAUAAUGUGACGUGGAAAACAAUAAGAAAAAAAAACAGAGUUGCACACUUGCACCAUGAAAAAGAGGCGCAGAGUGCUCUAUGUGAUCAAGUUCCAGAAACAGCGUCUCAUCUAUGCCUCCAAUGCCCCUAUGCAAAAGAAUUAUGGCUCCUGGUUGUCAAUUGGACAGGCGCUGAUGCAACAAUGCAGGCAAGGAAUGAAGAGGACAUUGAAGAAUGGUGGAACAGAUCCCUUGCCAUCGACCCUUUUAUCCCAGUUUGAAACACUAACCGGGAUAAAUGACCCCCUUUUAUCCCGAUUGGUAUUACAAACCGUGAUAAAAGGCUCUCGACCCUGUUUCAAACCGGGAUAAAAUGCCUCUCAGGAUCUUUUUUUCACACUAGCCUUUGCAACCGGGAUAAAAGGUCCCGGUUGGUGAGCCCCCCACCAGUAACCGAGCUUUAGUCCCGGUUGGUGAACCUUUUGUCCCGGGCCAACUUUAAACCGGGAUAAAAGGGGGCGCAUCGAAAGCCAAUUCUCU